CCUACGGGUGGCAGCAGUGAGGAAUAUUGGUCAAUGGCCGGAAGGCUGAACCAGCCAUGCCGCGUGAAGGUCAGUGCCCUAUGGGCGUUAAACUUCUUUUGUGCGGGAGCAAUAAUGGUCACGUGUGGCCAGACGAGAGUACCGUACGAAUAAGCAUCGGCUAACUCCGUGCCAGCAGCCGCGGUAAUACGGGGGAUGCAAGCGUUAUCCGGAUUUAUUGGGUUUAAAGGGUGCGUAGGCUGUGAGGUAAGUCAGCGGUGAAAUGCCCCCGCUCGACGGGGUGAAGUGCCAUUGAUACUGCCUGGCUGGAAUGCGGAUGCCGUGGGAGGAAUGUGUGGUGUAGCGGUGAAAUGCAUAGAUAUCACACAGAACACCGAUUGCGAAGGCAUCUCACGAAGCCGCGAUUGACGCUGAUGCACGAAAGCGUGGGUAUCAAACAGGAUUAGAUACCCGUGUAGUC
rnacentral:rRNA from 1 species